AUGCAGUCGCCUCUCCAUCGGGAGAUAGCAUGUGCCGGCCGCGCAUCCACGGUGCCCGAAAGAAUUGACGACACCAACCGCAGGCUACGUAGCUUGCAUCAGCACGAGACGACCACGACGCGAACCGGCCAACAGCGGACAAGGCAUGCGGAUCCCCGGCCGACACCUCCAGCGCGUGUCUCCACAUGUCUGCAGUCCCAUCGACUAGCACGACCUCCAGGGACGGCCUCGCACACGCCCGUCAAGCAGCAGCGCUCCUUCGGCAUCAACAUGCGACACCUCGUCGCAUCUACUCCAACAAUGAUGUCCACACGCCGCGGAGAUGGCUAUGCGUGGAGCCCUUCUCGGCUACGAGCCAGAUCGAACAGCAGGCGUGGCGAGCCUGCCGCAGAUCGGAGGCAGAUACACGCACGCGCAGAUCUUCAUCAACAGGUGCAGACGCAUGCGAUCCAUGGACUUGGGCGAGCGGCUUCAGUUGCCUUCGAUCCAGACGACAGAGGCGCAACACGGCGAGCGGCCAGUUUCAGGAUCCAUGCAAGGUUAGGCCUCAUGCACAUGUAUGAGUUCAUGACGUUCUCGUGCAGCUAG
rnacentral:rRNA from 1 species